GAGUUUGAUCUUGGCUCAGAACGAACGCUGGCGGCGUGGAUAAGACAUGCAAGUCGAACGGGAGAAUUGCUAGCUUGCUAAUAAUUCUCUAGUGGCGCACGGGUGAGUAACACGUGAGUAACCUGCCCCCGAGAGCGGGAUAGCCCUGGGAAACUGGGAUUAAUACCGCAUAGUAUCGAAAGAUUAAAGCAGCAAUGCGCUUGGGGAUGGGCUCGCGGCCUAUUAGUUAGUUGGUGAGGUAACGGCUCACCAAGGCGAUGACGGGUAGCCGGUCUGAGAGGAUGUCCGGCACACUGGAACUGAGACACGGUCCAGACACCUACGGGUGGCAGCAGUCGAGAAUCAUUCACAAUGGGGGAAACCCUGAUGGUGCGACGCCGCGUGGGGAAUGAAGGUCUUCGGAUUGUAAACCCUGUCAUGUGGGAGCAAAUUAAAAGAUAGUACCACAAGAGGAAGAGACGGCUAAACUCUGUGACGAG
rnacentral:rRNA from 1 species